rnacentral:rRNA from 1 species
UACGUAGGUGGCAAGCGUUUGUCCGGAAUUAUUGGGCGUAAAGCGCGCGCAGGUGGUCCUUUAAGUCUGAUGUGAAAGCCCACGGCUCAACCGUGGAGGGUCAUUGGAAACUGGGGGACUUGAGUGCAGAAGAGGAUAGUGGAAUUCCAAGUGUAGCGGUGAAAUGCGUAGAGAUUUGGAGGAACACCAGUGGCGAAGGCGACUGUCUGGUCUGUAACUGACACUGAGGCGCGAAAGCGUGGGGAGCAAACAGG